GAAGAAAGUAUAAAAUGUUUCAUACUAUUAAUUUUUUGAUAACUUUACCUUUACACGUAAAGUAAUUAGAGAAAUUAUAUAAAAAAAUCAUGUAAUUCUUUUAAAAAGUAACAGUGAUCUAUAUGUAACAAUUACCUUGAAAAAUCAAUUUUUGUAAAAAUUGAUUUUACCGUAUAUAAUUUGUAUCCAGACCAAACCAUUUUUGUUUAAAACAUUUUUAUAGAAAUCAUUUACUUUAUUUUAAAAUGGCUGCAUGGAUGACUUUUUAGAUACCUUGUGUGUUCAUAUUGAAUUUAAUUUUAAAAGUAAAUUAAAUUCUGUUUAAUAAAUAACAUCUUAAUUUAUAAAUAUAGAAAUUUAUUAGAUUUUUGCAAUAUUUAAAGAUACAUAACAAUGUAUUUCAUACUAUACUUUAUUUGAAUCUUUCGUAUGUUUAAUAAAAUUUGUUUGCUUGAUAGGUUACCUCUUCAGCAAUUUUUAUACAUGUUUCGAGCAUUUAACAAGCAAUAUUUACAUCAAACAGAAAAAGAAAAUUUUAAAGAUAGUACUGAAAAUGAAAAUAAAUACUCGUCCGAAGAAGAAAAAUUAGAUGAAAUUCAAAGAACAUUACAAAAGGAAUGUAAUAAAGUUCCACUUAAAGAGUUACGUAUAAGAUUGUCAAGAAUAGAUAACUAUAAUAGUUUACAUAAAACAUUUAAAAAAAGUACAAAUAAGAAAAAAAGAAAUACAAGCGGAAAGUGCCCGUCCCUAAUAAGAAUAUAAUCUGAACAUACAUAAAAUUAUAUGUAAACAGAAGAUUGAAGGUGAAAAAGAGGUGAUGAAGACAUUUAUGGUAUCCCUUCAGACGAUUAUGGCGAUAUAUUUUCGGAUGAAAGUAAUGAAAAUAUAAAUAUUCCGUAUCAUCCAGUGCAACAAUUCAAUGACAUACGUACACCUGAUUGCUGUUGUAUUUGUUUAGUUGAAAAAGCAGAUCAUAUAUUUGUCUCGUGUGGCCAUUUAUGUUGUUGUUCAGAUUGUAUCUUGAAGUUGCAAUCUAAAAAAUGUCCUAUUUGCAAUACAAAUUAUACGUCAUAUUUAAAAGUAAGAAUUCCAUGAAAAAAGCAAACCAAAUGAAAUAUUCAGUAUUAAUAUUAGUAAUUUUAUAAGAGCUUUCAGACAAAGAAUUUUAAAACUUAUGUUUAGUAAGAAUUUCUUUAAUUAUAAAAAUAUUUAGAAUAAUUAAAGUUAUUAACAUUAAAUAUCUUUAA